CGUUCAGCGGCGGACGGGUGAGUAACACGUGGGCAACCUGCCCUGCAGAUCGGGAUAACUCCGGGAAACCGGCGCUAAUACCGGAUAGUUUUUCGCACCUCCUGGUGCGAAACGGAAAGGCGGCUUUUAGCUGUCACUGCAGGAUGGGCCCGCGGCGCAUUAGCUAGUUGGUGAGGGUAACGGCCCACCAAGGCGACGAUGCGUAGCCGACCUGAGAGGGUGAUCGGCCACACUGGGACUGAGACACGGCCCAGACUCCUACGGGAGGCAGCAGUAGGGAAUCUUCCGCAAUGGACGAAAGUCUGACGGAGCAACGCCGCGUGAGUGAAGAAGGUUUUCGGAUCGUAAAACUCUGUUGUGAGGGAAGAACACGUACCAGGUAACUACUGGUACCUUGACGGACCUCUACCAGAAAGCCACGGCUAACUACG
rnacentral:rRNA from 1 species